rnacentral:rRNA from 1 species
UGCGCAGGCGGGGCAAUAAGUCAGUGGUGAAAUCCUGCGGCUUAACCGUAGAACUGCCAUUGAUACUGUUGCCCUUGAGUAUAGUUGAGGUGGGCGGAAUAUGUAAUGUAGCGGUGAAAUGCAUAGAUAUUACAUAGAACACCAAUUGCGAAGGCAGCUCACUAAGCUAUCACUGACGCUGAGGCACGAAAGCGUGGGGAGCGAACAGGAUUAGAUACCCUGGUAGUC